GAAAUUUCUAAAAACUUAUAAAAAAAAGAUUAAUUACUAAAAAAAACAACAAUUAAUAUAACAAAAAAAUAUGAAUCGUUUUGUUGUAUUGUUUUCAGUGAUCAUUAUUGCCAUUCUAUCAAGCAUAACUGAUGCUAAACCAACUGCUACUGGUGAUACUGAGAAUAUUGGCAAUAUAUAAUUAAAUUACCCCGGCUACAAUACACAAAACAACAACAACAACAACAAAUACAAGCCCCCUAACAAUAUAAUGAAUUAAUUUGAAUCUAAAAUACAAUAUAAAUUUAUUUUUAAAUAUUUAUGUUUUUGUACUCUAAUUUUAUAAUUAUUUUUAUUGUUAAACAAAAUUUCUAAAUAAAACAAAAUUUUUUGUUGUUGAUAA